rnacentral:rRNA from 1 species
AUUGAACGCUGGCGGCAUGCUUUACACAUGCAAGUCGAACGGUAACAGGCCGCAAGGUGCUGACGAGUGGCGAACGGGUGAGUAAUGCAUCGGAACGUGCCCAGCCGUGGGGGAUAACUACUCGAAAGAGUAGCUAAUACCGCAUACGAUCUAUGGAUGAAAGCGGGGGACCGUAAUGCCUCGCGCGAUUGGAGCGGCCGAUGUCAGAUUAGGUAGUUGGUGGGGUAAAGGCUCACCAAGCCAACGAUCUGUAGCUGGUCUGAGAGGACGACCAGCCACGCUGGGACUGAGACACGGCCCAGGCUCCUACGGGAGGCAGCAGUGGGGAAUUUUGGACGAUGGGCGCAAGCCUGAUCCAGCAAUGCCGCGUGCAGGAAGAAGGCCUUCGGGUUGUAAACUGCUUUUGUACGGAACGAAACGGCUCUGGUUAAUACCCGGGGCUAAUGACGGUACCGUAAGAAUAAGCACCGGCUAACUACGU